rnacentral:rRNA from 1 species
UAAGUCCCGCAACGAGCGCAACCCCUAUCCUUAGUUGCCAGCGAUUCGGUCGGGAACUCUAAGGAGACUGCCGGUGAUAAACCGGAGGAAGUGGGGACGACGUCAAGUCAUCAUGGCCCUUACGUGUAGGGCUACACACGUGCUACAAUGGCGCAUACAGAGUGCUGCGAACUCGCGAGAGUAAGCGAAUCACUUAAAGUGCGUCGUAGUCCGGAUUGGAGUCUGCAACUCGACUCCAUGAAGUCGGAAUCGCUAGUAAUCGCAGGUCAGAAUACUGCGGUGAAUACGUUCCCGGGCCUU